rnacentral:rRNA from 1 species
UAGUGUAGCAAUACAAUGAAUUUCUUAGUGGCGAACGGGUGAGUAACGCGUUGGUGACCUACCCCAAAGAGAGGGAUAACAGUUCGAAAGGACUGCUAAUACCUCAUGUGAUCAUUUGGACUAGAAGCCUUAUGAUUAAAGGAGCUUGCUCCGCUUUGGGAGGGGCCUGCGUACCAUCAGCUAGUUGGUAGGGUAAUGGCCUACCAAGGCUAUGAGGGUUAGGGGACCUGAGAGGGUGGCCCCCCGCAAUGGAACUGAAACACGGUCCAUACACCUACGGGUGGCAGCAGUAGGGAAUAUUGGUAAUGCGCGAAAGCGCGAACCAGCAACGCCGCGUGUGCGAAGAAGGCCUUCGGGUUGUAAAGCACUUUUCGGGAGGAAGAGGAAGGACUGUACUCCCGGAAUAAGUCUCGGCUAACUACGUGCCAGCAGCCGCGGUAAUACGUAGGAGGCUAACGUUAUCCGGAUUUACUGGGCGUAAAGCGCGUGUAGGCGGUUUGGUAAGUUGGACGUGAAAGCUCCCGGCUCAACUGGGAGAGGUCGUUCAAUACUGCUAGACUAGAGGAUGGUAGAGGGAGGUGGAAUUCCGGGUGUAGUGGUGAAAUGCGCAGAUAUCCGGAGGAACACCAGUGGCGAAGGCGGCCUCCUGGACCACUCCUGACGCUCAGACGCGAAAGCUAGGGUAGCGAACGGGAUUAGAGACCCCGGUAGUCCUAGCCGUAAACGAUGUGAACUUGGCGUCGGUGGGAUUAAAUCCAUCGGUGUCGAAGCUAACGCGAUAAGUUCACCGCCUGAGGACUACGGCCGCAAGGUUAAAACUCAAAGGAAUUGACGGGGACCCGCACAAGCAGCGGAGCGUGUGGUUUAAUUCGUUGCUACACGAAGAACCUUACCUGGGUUUGACAUACAGGUUGUAGGGAACUGAAAAGGGACCGACCCUUCGGGGGAGCCUGUACAGGUGUUGCAUGGCUGUCGUCAGCUCGU